UACGGCCUUCUAUCUUCCGGUUGGUGCAGUCUUCCAACCUCCAGAUCUAUCGGGAGGUUGUGGAUCGAGCAUUGAUUGUAGAGGCUGGAGCGGCAGAUCUUCAGGAGCGUCGCGAGAGCUCGGAGAAGGGGAAGGGAAAGAGGCCCGCGGCUGAGAGUGCGAGUCAAACGCACUCACGAAGGCCGCCGAGGCACCCCAGGAGCCAGAGGCAGUCGCAGGGACGUGGCUCGUCUACUCAGCGAGGAGGACCCGACCGUCGCCAGGCCCCCCGCUGCGUGAUCUGUGGCGGUCCUCAUUAUACGCAGCACUGUUCACGUAGCCGGAGCAGGUGCUUCUUGUGUGGCCAGGAGGGCCACUUUCAGUCGGACUGCCUGAGGAGUCCAUCGCCAGCGCCAUCUUCGGCAUCUGCACCAGCAUCGCCAGGUCCCAGCCAGGGGACAUCUUCUGCGCAUCACCAGGCCGGUCGGCCACCUGUCCAGCGGCAGACGGAGGGGUCACGACAGGCCCCGAGCGGGCGCAUGUACGCGGCCCAGACUGAGGAGGCGGCGGCAGCCGAGAAUGUGGUCGCAGGUAUCAUUUUACUUCAUGGUAUUCGAGUUAGAGCUUUGUUUGAUACCGGUGCAUCGCAUUCAUUCAUAGACCGGCUGUUUGCCGAGUUGCAUGGCAUCCCACUUGUAUCCUUGUUGCAUCCUGGACGAGUUGUUGUACCCGACCAUUCUUUGGACAUCCAAGAGUUUUGCCCCAGUUGCCCUGUUCGGGUUGGAAAUUGGAUCAUGCCCGUAGACUUGCUAGCUUUGCAUAAACUCGGGGAGUUUGAUGUUGUGCUGGGCAUGGAUUGGUUGACCAAGUACUACGCCACCAUUGAUUGCAAGAAUCGAACGGUGACGUUUAGAGAGCCGGGGCAGGCGGAGGUUGUGUACCGAGGAUGCCAGAGUUCGCUGUUUGCGAUGACGAUUAGCUCUUCUCGAGCUCGGCAGUUGAUUAGUAGAGGCUGCGUAGCCUACUUGGCUACUGUUGUGUUGCGGGGUGAGGAUGACACCCCUAGGAUUGAGGAUAUCCCCGUAGUGCGGGAGUUUGGAGAUAUGUUCCCAGCGGAGCUUCCAAGCAUGCCACCUGAUAGGGAGAUUGAGUUUGUGGUAGAUCUCGUUCCCGGGACUACUCCAAUCUCAAAGGCACCCUAUAGGAUGGCACCAGCAGAAUUGAAGGAGCUGAAGGCACAGUUAUAGGAUCUUCUGGACAAGGGUUUUGUGCGACCGAGUGUGUCACUUUGGGGAGCACCGGUUUUGUUUGUGAAGAAGAAGGAUGGAUCACUACGCUUGUGCGUGGACUAUCGUGAACUUAAUAAAGUCACGAUCAAGAACAAGUAUCCAUUACCGAGGAUUGAUGAUCUAUUUGAUUAGCUCCAGGGAUCUUGUGUAUAUUCCUAGAUUGAUUUGCAGUCGGGAUACCACCAGUUGAUGAUCAAACCUGAGGAUGUGUCGAAUACGACUUUUAGAACACGGUAUGGAUAUUAUGAGUUUACCGUUAUGCCGUUUGGGCUUACUAAUGCUCCGGCAGCUUUUAUGGAUUUAAUGAACCGUGUUUUCAAGCCUUAUUUAGACAGGUUUGUCAUGGUGUUCAUCGACGACAUUUUGGUCUAUUCCCGAAGUGAUGUGGAUCACGAGGAACACUUGAGACUUGUACUUCAAGUGCUUCGGAAAAAGAAGCUCUAUGCCAAGUUGACAAAGUGUGAGUUUUGGCUUAGAGAGGUGGCGUUUUUGGGCCAUGUGAUUUCAGGAUCAGGGAUAGUUGUGGAUCCAAGGAAAAUUGAAGCUGUCAAGAAUUGGCCGAGGCCGACGAGUGUGACCGAGAUACGGAGCUUCAUUGGUUUAGCCGGCUACUACAGGCGGUUCGUUGAGGGAUUUGCAAAGUUAUCUACCCCCCUCACGAGGCUCACGCAUAAAGGCACCAAGUUCAUUUGGAAUGAUGCGUGUGAAAGGAGCUUCCAAGAGUUGAAGCAGAGACUGACUACCGCCCCGAUCCUAACCUUGCCGACUGCCGGAGCAGGGUAUGUGAUUUAUAGUGAUGCUUCUUUUAACGGAUUGGGCUGUGUUUUGAUGCAGGACGGGAAAGUGAUCGCGUAUGCAUCUCGCCAAUUGAAGGAUUAUGAAAGGAAUUACCCCACUCACGACUUGGAGUUGGCGGCCGUGGUUUUUGCAUUAAAGCUAUGGCGCCAUUAUUUAUAGGGCGAGCGGUGCGAAGUAUAUACGAAUCACAAGAGCUUAAAGUAUUUAUUCACUCAGAAAGAGUUGAACUUGAGGCAGCGCAGAUGGUUGGAGCUACUCAAGGAUUACGACCUGACGAUUCUUUACCACCCGGGCAAGGCUAACGUGGUGGCGGAUGCGCUAAGUCGGAAAUCGACGGAGAACUUAGCGAUGCUUGUGGUUACUCAACUGCCGUUGAUCAAGCAGAUGAAGCGGCUGGAGUUGGAGGUGGUGGCUCCUGAUACACCUUUGAGACUUAUGACUUUGGUGGUGCAAUCUACACUUAUAGAAAAAAUUAAAGAAAAGCAAGUCUCCGAUGUUGAGUUGCAAAGGAUUCAAGCUAAGAUGGUUGAUGGUUGCACCGGUGAUUUCACUUUAGACGGUGAUGGAUUGAUGCGUUUCCGCGGACGACUUUGUGUACCGGCGGUGUCACGACCCGCGACCACCCGCCUAUUUGGCCGAGGUCGCGACGUCGACAGCGCAGAACGAACAGGGUUUCCCCUGUACUGCGGACAGAGUCUCCCCUGUACGUUCAAGGCAUCGCAAUCAAUACAAUACAAAGGUUCCAAACAGGAACAAUAUCAAUCAAGAUUGCAAGUGGAAGGUAUCAUACAACAUAAACACAUCCUAAGUUAUUACAUUCAUUCACUUUCAUAGUUUUUACUCACAAUUUCUAUUCUUUUUCAUCCAAAUGCAAUCUAAGUUAUUACAACAUUUACUUACUACAAGUUUGAUACAUUGUAUUCUUUUCAUUUCCCAUACCUCUAAGCUAUAUCGACAGGGUACUGCUAGCUCUGGUCUCCGGGUAGGGCGCUAUCUAUGGAUCUACGCCCUUUCCUCGCGCCGCUGCGCCGCUCUCGUGCGAACCUGUAACCCCCAAAACAACGUGGGGUGAGAACCAACUCCAUGGUUCCCAGUGGGUACGGCCACCCAAGGGAAAAGCUCGACCAAAAGGUCCAAGGAGGCACUGCAAUCAUGUUAGUCCAAAAACAUCUAUAGAUAUAUAAAUCAUAAUGUUAAUAAGCAACUAACAGAUAACAUGCCUCACAACGUGCAAUAUGAAUAUUAUGCAGUUCUAUGCAAUCAAGCAACCAUUCAGUAGAUCUAUUGAUUCUACAUUCAGCUUUACUAACUUUAGCUCAUGUCAUUUAGCCUCUAAGGUUCUACUACCUUAGCUCACAACUCAAGUUCACAUUGCCUCUAAGGUCUCUAUUACCUUAGUUCUUACCAUUAUCACUAGCUUAUAAGGUUUCUAUUAACCUAAUCGAGCUAACCACCCGACUCGGCCUCGAGUCAAUCAUCCACGGAUAGUCCGCGCACUGGCCGCACUCUGUGACUUAACCAGCUGGCGGCGAAGUCAUCGCACACGCCGAACACUGGUUCAAGUCCCUCAACUUGGCCACCUGGUGGCAAACGAAUCGCACCUCACCCAACAAUGGCUCAAGUCGAUCUGGCGGCAUAAUCCACAAACUGGCUUAACCAUUCGGCGGCGAAAUCGUUGCACACGCCACGUCAAUGGUUCAAGCCCCGGGCGGUGAUCUCAGUGCACUCACCUCCCAAUCCAUCCUUGGUAUCAACCUCGACGGCGAAAUUGUCGCACACGCCCUAGCCUUGAUACCAAGGUUAUCAAAGAUUCUGGGAUUCCGGAAUCCACUUUUCACAAGUCGAGGGUCCAUAGCCAACCCUAUACCGUCGACCUAGCUCAUCCUAGUGGCUAUACCACUCUACUCAUCAAACUAGGUUUCAAACACUCUAGGUUCUAUGUCCAUGUCACUUAACCUAGUUAUAAAUGCUAGGUUCAUGUCCUCGUAGCCUAGAUGUCCAUUUCUAGGUUUACUAGUUCGACCUAGGUUUACUAACACUAGGUUCGAUGCCACACACCUAGAUUAUUCAAUUCUAGGUUUACGUAUUUAACCUAUGUCCUUUAACACUAGGUUAGAUGCCACUCGAUCUACCUGACAACCUAGUUGUCCACUUAAGCAUUCUACAUUACCAUUUUCCGUUGUCGAGUUUUCUACUCAUUCUAGAUUAUCAAUUCCCUUCAUAUGCAUAUCCUCACAAUGCUACUCAUGUAUUUAUGCAGCUAUCUAGCAUUACAUAGCAUGCAUUAUAUGAUCUAUAUCAUUUAUAUGGACCUACUUAGCAUUUGCAUCAUAUUAUUAACAUGCAUCACUUAGCAUUAGCUACAUGCGCCAUUCACAUGCCUCGUUCACAUUUAUAUGCAUCAACAUGGGUUCUUAAUCAUCUUAGACAUAAAGGUGACCUAGUCGCUUCGGUAAGCACAACCCACCUUAACUCGCGUUCCGAUUGCUCGUCGACACUUGCAAUCGGCCUCCCGCGGCCUCCCGCGGCACUCGGCACUCGUUUGGGCCCGAUCUCACAGUUGCUCUCCAAGAGCGCGCCGCUUCGCCGUCUCAAGUGCUAACGGUCUUCGCCUUGCUGCUACGGUGCUCGGGAUCCAAUCCCAUGAUUUUACGACGUCGCCUCGGCCCUCCCGGCAGACCCGAAGCUUAAACGUCUAUUUCUUUAAUAACUUUGUAACGGCUCGUCAGAUUGCCGAACCGUCUUCGCCAACGCGUUUUGUUACCUAGCAAUUAGGUUUACAGAGGGUUGAAUGAGAUCAAACCCUCAUAUUUGCCAAAACCCCAUUUCGGAGCCCUAGAUUCCAAUUAGGUAAAAACCUAUCUUUAAAUCUCUAGAUUCUAGCAUUAAACAUCUAUUAAGCUUGCUAGGAAUCCAAUUAAACCAUUUCUAGAGAUCAAAACCCUACAUCUAGGGAUUUACCAUGAGAGGGCUAAGGGCUUACCUCUCAAGAUGCUCCAAUAGCAAGGAGGGAGAGAAGAAGGUGGAGUUGAUCUCCUCCUUGAUCUUCUUCUCCUUCUUCUCCUUCCUCUUCUUCUUCUCUUCUUUCUCCCCUUCUUCUUUUUCUUUUGUUUAGAGAGAGAGAGAGAGAAACGUGAGAGAGAGUGAGGGAAUGAGAGAAAGAGAGAGAGAGUCCUCUCUUAACCCCCUCUCAUAUUGUAACAUUUCCAAAUAAGCCCCCCAACUCUUCUAACCUCGCAGUAGCCCGAACUGGGCAUUUUUCGCGUUCGGGGACUGGUCCUUGCGGUGAGGGACCGGUCCCUGAGAGACCGGUCCCCGAAGGUCCAGAAUUCAGCCUCAAGGACUUAGCCAAAUUUUCAGCAUUUUCGCCCGUUUUUGUCCGUUUUAGCUCGUUUGACCUCCGAUUCACUUCAAAUCGAACCGAGACUCUCCAUACAUGUUUUCAAGCAUGUUUUCAUCAUCUUUUCAUCCACGCUAAUGCCGGAUUUAGCUCACGGCCCAACAUAGCCUUUCGGGCUCCGUUUUCGCGCCUAUGCGCACCGAAACGCCCGAAUGCUUCCGAACUUCACCGAACUUCACCGGAACUAUUCGAAUGGCUUUCUAACCAAACGUACACCGUAACUUCAUGAUUUUAGAAGUCCAGUACCUUACAGGCUGACUUGGGUAUUAAAGAGGAUAUUCUUCAAGAAGCACACCGAGCAUCGUAUGCUAUACAUUCGGGAGGCACCAAGAUGUACAAGAACUUGAAGUUGCUUUACUGGUGGCCCGGGAUGAAAAAGGAUGUUGGUGAGUUUGUUGCCAGAUGCUUAACUUGCCAACAGGUGAAAGCUGAGCACCGAGUUCCCAUGAAAAAACUUCAGAGCCUACCGAUUCCAGUGUGGAAGUGGGAAAAGAUUACCAUGGAUUUCGUGAUGGGAUUGCCUCGCUCACAGGCCGGGCAUGACGCUAUUUGGGUGAUCGUGGAUAGGCUGACGAAAUCGGCCCAUUUCAUACCUAUCCACACUAUUUAGACUGGUGAGAGACUCAGAUAGGUUUAUUUGGAUGAGAUUGUGCGAUUGCACGGGGUACCUACUUCUAUAGUAUCGGAUCGAGACCCCCGUUUUGUAUCCCACUUUUGGAGAAGCUUAUAGGAUGAUUUGGGUACGCGCUUGGACUUCAGCACUGCUUUCCACCCCCAGAGUGACGGGCAGUCGGAGCGUACUAUACAGACUCUUGAGGACAUGCUUCGAGCCUGCGUGAUUGACUUCCAGGGAGAAUGGUUGCAGCAUCUACAGAUGGCAGAGUUUGCUUAUAACAAUAGUUAUCAAGCAAGCAUCAAGAUGGCACCUUUCGAGGCACGUUAUGGAUGGAAGUGUAGAUCGCCACUUCAUUGGAGUGAAGUUGGCGAGAGAUUGGCUUUAGGCCCAGAUGUGCUCCAGAAGGCCGAGAACAAGGUUCGCAUUGCGCGGGAGCGACUGUUGACAGCCCAGAGUAGGCAGAAGAGCUAUGCUGAUCGGCGUCGACAAGACUUGAAGUUUCAAGUUGGAGAACACAUCUUCUUGAAAGUCUCGCUGACUCGAGGGAUUAGAAGAUUUGGAACCCGGGGUAAGUUGAGCCCCCGAUACUUUGGACCGUAUGAGGUUUCGGAGCGUGUAGGCCCGGUAGCGUAUAGACUUGCUCUACCGCCGAACCUAUCGGGUGUGCACAAUGUAUUCCAUAUAUCGGUCCUUCGGAAGUACAUCCACGACCCGGCUCAUGUUUUAGACGCUACGCUUUUGGAGCUGAGAGAGGACUUGAGCUUCGAGAAACAACCUUUAAGGAUUUUGGCUCGCGAAGUGAAAAGAUUGCGGAACCGGGAAAUUCCCUACGUGAAGGUGCUUUGGAGCAACCACGACGAGCGCGAGGCCACUUGGGAGUUGGAGAACGCACUGCGGGGCGCUACCCCAUCUUUUUCAGAUGGAGGCUUGAGGUACUUUGUCUUUUUCGAGUUUCGUGGACGAAACUCCUUUUUAUGAGGGGUGAAUGUAGUACACUGGACCUUUGCAAAUUGCGAGGUUCGAGUGUUCGAGCUGUGUUCUGAGUCCUUCCAGACUUUCUGGUGGGUCGUUGACAGUGCUCCGACCUAUGGCUCGUAUUCCGAGAAUUGUGGUUUAAAGCUGUGUACCAAAACCCAAAAAAAGGGGAUUUGGCCAACUCUCGGAUAGCAAUCUGGAGGUCUUGUACCGGUACAAGGUUGGUGGUUGUACCGGUACAAGGUUGAUGGUUGUACCGGUACAGCCACCGGGCUUUUACCGAUACAGAGCGAUUGAACCCCGCCAACCCGAGCCUUGGGUUUGUGAUUUUCAUGGGACUUGUACCGGUACAAGGGCCCGUGUACCGGUACAAGGUGGCAGAAUUUGAGCAGUUUGAACUGCAGGGGUGUUUUUGCGAUUGUGGGUCUCUUAUAUCAACACCCACGCCCCUAGGGCUCUCCUUUGAGCUCACCACUGCAGGGAGAAAGGUAGGGCACCUCUCCCCUUCACCCCCUUUGGAUUUGAUCUCUUUUUAGCUUGGGAUUUAAGUGUUAAUCCAUCUCUUUUCCCUUUUGGUGCAAUUCCACCAUUGUUGAAGCUUGGAGCUUGGAUUUGGAGCUUUGUUGAGGGGAGAUCUUGGCAUUUAGAGAGUUUAGAGCUUGGAUUGAAGCUUCUAAGAGGUAAUCUACUUGUUCUCUCCCUCUAGAUUGGAUUUUUAUUGGUGGUUUUGAGAUGAAACCCUAGAAUGGGGUUUUAGGGCUUAUUUUGGGCAUUUUGAAUUUAGGACUUUUGGAGCUAAAUUAAUUGGAUUAGAAUCUUCCUUUGGGUUGGAUCGGAAGGAUUCUAGCUCUCUUUAGGAGCUUGAGGGAGAUUUUCUACACAUUAGGUGAGUUUUAUCCCUUUUGCCUUGUUGGUUAUGUUUAAUUUUAUAGUUGAUCGUAAUGCCCGUGUAUCUCUUCGCUCAAUACUUUUAGGGUAUUUUGAGACUUGUGGAUAACUUCGUUUGGCGAAACGAGACACUACGCGACGGUUCGGUGGGUUUGACCUAGCCACACAAUGAGAAAAUCUCAUUUGUGAAGAUUUGAGUAUUGUUAAUUGAAAAAGCAUGCAUAUUCAUAUUAGAUAUAUUUAUUAUGAAUUUUAGAAUGCUUAACAUGCAUACGUUAUGUAUAGUAAAUUUUGGACCUCUAUGUGGUUGGGUGCAUGCAUGUGGAAUGUAGCAUUCUAGUGGAAACUUGGGACCAUGAUUCCUAUUAUGAAAAUGAACAUUGCUUUCUUGCAUUUAACCUUAUGCCUAAUUGUGACAUUAGGGACUUUGGAAGCCUAGAGAGGCUUGGGGACUGAGGCUAUUUGAGGUUUUGGGCCGAUGUCAUAAAGAGGCAUUGGGCCCCGGGCUAUAGUGAAUAUUGGUAUUAACGUCAUAUUUGGAACAUAGAACAUGAAUUGAGCUUUACUAGUUGUGAUGCUUAAGUGUCAUAAAGAGGCACUAAGCAAGUGAGUGUUGAGAUAUCAUAUUGUGACAUAGAGCUAGACCGUUGGGUUACUAGUAGCUAUUGCCAUGUUUGAGACAUGAGGGUUGGAUACUUGAGCCUUUGACUACGCUUGCUUGCCAUUUGUGCUCAUUCGCACAUGCUUGUGAGGGUCGCUCCCUACAAGCCGGCACUCCGGAGUUAGCCUACGCGACUUAUGUUCGCUCGUGCGGUAUUUGAGUGGCUACACGGUGAGUGGAAAAGACAUUCCAGAUAGGGAUGUUUGUACCAAGUACUAGCGCCAGUAGAACUAACUUGUAGGUCCCUAAGUUGGAAAAUGGAAAUUGAAUCUGUUGUUGUGGUAAUAUAAGAUAGAGGUCGAGUUGAUUCUGGUUGCUUCUAGCAUAGUUUUGAACCUUGAGUAUACUACAUACCAUGUAUCUAGGAGUAUGUGACUUAUUCUCCCAUAUUACAGUGUUCAUAAUACAUAUCUUAUAAAUUCAUAAAGAAACCGUGAAAUUUAACUGUGGAUGUUGGACAUAUAUUACGCAUUGAACAUUCUCUUAAUAAACAGUAAAUUUAACAUUGACAUCGUAAUGUUUAUGGUAUAGGUAAAACUAGAUAAACAUGCAUAUUUCAUACGCUUAUUUAUUUGAUGUUUACCGUACUUAUUCUUUGGCCUAGUGUGCAUUGACUUGAGGUAGUAAUUGCCACUGAAUAAUAAAUUUAGUUCUCAACCCUCUGUUUAUGUUUUCUUUACGAGCAUUCCAACGCAGGAGAGCUAGGGAGUGAAGGCGUUGUUUGACUAGCUCUAGCGGAGUGCGAGUUGCUAGGUUACUUGAAUAUUUUAUUUUGAAGGUGAGAGUGUACCAUUGUAUAGGAUGACCCUUUUGUUACUUUUUUUGGACAAUAUUUAUCUUAUUAUUUCAUUUUGUUAUAGUAUACUUUUCCUAGUGUAUGAAAUUAAUUUUGCUCUGAUAUUCUAGAUGUUGUUUUUCUUUGGUUAUUUUUCGGCUGUGUUGAGACGCCUUAUAUGUGGUUACUAUGGGGGUCUGGGCACCUACGGAGGCCCUGCGGUCCGGCGUGACAGGUCUAGCUCCCUUACCAAAGGGAUGUCUUCUUGCUAAGAAUAUGGAAGAGAGAAAGAGACGUUGAGGUUGGGUUAAAAACUCUGAAUUAUAUAUAGGAAUAAAAUCUAUUCUAAAUAAUAUAAUGAAUAGGAUAAGUAUAUAUCUAAGAUUUAAUUUUCCUUUCGCUAAGGUUAAUCGAUCACAUCUAAUUUGAUUCGACUUGAAUUUUAAUAUUAAUUUGACUUAUUUCAUUAAUGAAUGCACAUUUGCCCAUCUCUAUAAUAUUACUAAAUUAUAAGCUCUCGCUUAUAACUUAUACACUUUAAUACCACUAAUUUGUAACAAUUACAAAUUACUCCAAUUAUCAACAUAUUGACAAUUAGGUCCUACUGCGAUUCAAUAAUCGCGAUCUAGCUAUCCGAUCAAUCACAACCAUUUAUGUGUGUGACCCCAUAGGUUCUAUUCUAACUGGUAGUGAGAUAUAUUUUGAUCACUAUCAACAAUAUCACGGAAACUCCUUUCGGUAGAUCGGAACAAUUCCAACUCUGCCCAAUGAGAAUUAUCGAUCAUCUAGAUAAUUCUCAUGAGUCUCACAAUCCACCAGUGACGCCUAGCAGCAUGUAGUGGCAUUCCAGUAGAAUGAAAUACUGAACCUCUUGGUGCAGUUAUCGUGUGAUACAAUCCUUCUAUCAUGAGUCCCGACAAGACGGAGGUUAUGGAAUAACUCGUCAAACCCCAUCGCCUAUCAUAUAUUAAAUUCAUUCGACUCGAGUUUCUAAUAUCAGAAACCUUUUUCCGCUAUUAACUCUGCCCUGGUCAAGGUCUUCUAAACUCGGUCUCAUAAAUCAUAUAGGACUAACACCCCUAUCUACCAAGUGAGAUAGAUUCCAUCUAAGUGUGCACCCUAUUCCUACAAUAAACCUACUGUAGCCAACAUGCACCGCAAGGACCCGAAUGGCUAGGGACCAAGUGUAUGUACAGUCAAACUACAGUAACCUCAUUGUGAAUAGCCGAGGCACCGCAGGUCAAAGUACUAGUCACAUUACUGCAACAUUGAAUAAGUCACUGACGAGUGAGUAGACAUCCAAGUGACUUCUCGGGAUGGUCACGCUCGGUACCCUUGUUCUCUAACAACCACCUGCAUAUUCGCUUCAGUGUCCCUACAUUGUCGACUCGAGACCCGUCUACCCAAAAAGGAAGCGACCUAUGCACCAAUCUCACCGGAUCAAUCACCGCCCCCGUGAUGGUCCAUUGAUUAGGAGCAUUUAGGAAUUAACCACCAAUGACACAUGUCUCAAAUUCUCAACUCUUGAGAAUAUAUGUCAUCAUCUUAUUAAUUCCUUGGACGAUUCACGGACACAUACACAACAUGAAUGGAAAUAAAAACCCAAAUUUAUUCAUAAUAUUUUAAAGUCAAAUACAAAUUUAUAUCCUAGAAAGAAUACAUGUGUCAGCCUGGUUGGCUUCUAGGGCAUACAUCUAACACCAUAUAGUAUUACGAUGUCAAGGUUUAUCAUUUAUUAACCCAAAUGUCACUACAUGACGUUCAUGAUUACUAUGUCAAGUAACAGUUACUAGUUCAAAUGCACACAACCAUUGCCAUUAUCCUAUCUAGGAUAGUUCACUUUUGUCCAAGUCUCAAUGAGAGUUCACACUUAGUCUAUUCCACUAAAGCUAAGGAAGCCACUUUCUUAUGGUGUAUGCAUAGUUACCACAAAUUAUUUAUAAUGCUCAUGAUGCAAGCCAUGCACAUAUAUCUUCCUACCCAUACAUCCACCUUAUGGAGUAAUAACAAUUAUGCGAGUGCUUUCAUUCAAUAAUGCCAUAUGCAAAUAUUCAACUAGAAUGAAUGUUCCAACUUGGUUUCUUAUAGAUCUUACAUGUACUACGUUACCAUGUCCCAACUACUUGCCUACAACAAGUGUGAUAUUGUCAUGCAAAUAUAUGCAAAUGAAUGUUCCAACUUGGUUUUCUCUCUUUUGUGUUUUGUUGAGAGAGAGAGAGAUUUUGUAUCCAUGUAUAGAGACCACCUCUGUAUUACAUUCAGUUUUUGUACUCGGGUUUUGUUAUUGUACUACCUUAUGGUUUUAUUUAGUGGAUCUAGCUCUUUACUUAUUUUCUUUUCCUUGUCAUAGAUACUAGAUGUUGUAUACUCUGAUAUCUCUAGAUCUCUUCGUGCUGUUGCUUUAUUUAUUACCUUAUUGUAGACGCCUUAUAUAUUUUAGACGUAUGGCGGGUCUGGACACGCGCCGGGCGGGCUUCCGCUGGGUCCCGGGGCGUGACAGAUCAUGUCCAUGAUGUUCAUAAUGCUACAAUAAGUGACGAUACAUCUCAUUACUAUUCUAACCAUACAUUAUGCCAAUCAAUAUAAGUGUAACAUACUACCACUAGGGUGUCAAUGCUAACAAUGACUAACAUAAGGUCCACAUAUGCACUAUCAUGCAUGUCCACUAGUCCAACUGAUAUACAUCAUCUAGUAGUAGUUUUCACAUUACACUUUAGGUUUCAUAGUUCAAUCCUCAUCAUGGAUCUACACGUGUGUAGUCCGGCUUGUGCCGUGCCAAAAAUGGCCCCAUAGUAGUCAAUAUUCCCACUCUAGGAAUGAGCCUCCCCCACGGCAUCCCAUUUCGGCGCCCAAUCCUGCACGGGCGAGCUUGUGUCACAUAGGCUAUCUCCGGAGUGCCAGCUUGUGGGGAGCGACCCUUACAAGAAUGUGUGAAUGAGCACAAAGGCAAGCAAGCGUGAUCAAUAGUAUCCAGCUCUCGGUCAUCAUGUCUAAAAUAUGGAAUACGUGGCAACGACCCCAAAGGUCCCAUAUAGUAUUACGAUGUCAAGGUUUAUCAUUUAUUAACCCAAAUGUCACUACAUGACGUUCAUGAUUACUAUGUCAAGUAACAGUCACUAGUUCAAAUGCACACAACCAUUGCCAUUAUCCUAUCUAGGGUAGUUCACUUUUGUCCAAGUCUCAAAGAGAGUUCACACUUAGUCUAUUCCACUAAAGCUAAGGAAGUCACUUUCUUAUGGUAUAUGCAUAGUUACCACAAAUUAUUUAUAAUGCUCAUGAUGCAAGCCAUAAACAUAUAUCUUUCUACCCAUACCUCCACCUUAUGGAGUAAUAACAAUUAUGCGAGUGCUUUCAUUCAAUAAUGCCACAUGCAUAUAUUCAACUAGAAUGAAUGUUUCAACUUGGUUUCUUAUAGAUCUUACAUGUACUACGUUACCAUGUCCCAACUACUUGCCUACAACAAGUGUGGUAUUAUCAUGCAAAUAUAUGCUAAGUCUCAUUCAUGCACAUGUCCAAGUCAUAUAGUUAUGCUAUCGAUCUCAAGAUCAACACCUUGUUAGUUACUAGGUCACAAUGCCCUAUUUCCUUGUCUACACAAGUAUAUUAUUUGUAACAUACCAGAUUUUGGUAUAAAAAAAAAUAAAAAUAAAUAAAAAUAGUGUGAGAAACUAUUUUUAUUGGAUUUAUAGAAGUAAAAUAUAAGUUAGAAGUGACUUGUGCUGAAAUCGAAAUGAAAAUAGAAGAUCUAGAAUUUUCUGUUGGAAACGAGACAGAUAAAUUAGCAGAAAAUGCAGUCUCAGAAAAUUAUGAAAAUUGGAGGAUAAGUCAGAAAUAUUUUUAUGAGGCUAGAUUUAAGGUUUCAUAUUUUUCUGACACCCGUAGAGUGAGAAAUAAAAUCCAACAGCUAUCUGAUAAAGAUUACGGUUCGGUACAGUUUUCAGUGACCAAACGAGGUCGAAACUGAAAACAUAAGAUAUAUUCUCACUCAGUACGUUAAACCGAGGUUGUCUGUCAAAUUUGAGCCCAAACGAACAUUCAGAAGGGCUCCAACUGUUCCGAACUACUAAACUGCACUGGAAUGAAUAACGUUGUGGUGUUGACAAAAGAGGAGUGUUGACUCUUCUUCUUUUCCUUCAGCCGCACACACGCCACACACACACACGCGCGCAUGGAGGGGGAGAGGGAAACCCUCCCUUCUCUCUCUAAAUAUCUCUCUCAUCUCUCUAAAUCUCUCUCUAAAAAUUGGAGGGUUGGCAGAGAGCGAGCUUGCGAACGCGUUGGAGGCGACGGAUCGAGCUUUCGUACGCCCGUUGGAGCGGCGUGGUUUCGUCGCGGCGUUCACAUUUUGGUAAGCUUUUGGAAUUUUGUUUAAAUCCUUCAUGAAUGAUGUUCUAGUAGUAUCUAGAGUGUUCUAAACAUGCUCUCUCUAUUUAAUUUGGAUUAUUUAGAGGUUAAUUACAUGUUAGGGCUCCGAAUGGGGUUUUGUAAAAUAUAAGGGUUUGAUCUAAUUUGACCCUCCGUAAACCUAAUUGCUAGGUAAACGAACGCGUUGGCCAAGACGGUUCGGCGAUUCGUCCAGCCGUUGCAAAGUUAUUAAAGAAACGGAUGUUUAGGCUUCAUUUCCGCCUGGAGUGUAAGGAAGUGGAUUCUCGAAAUCCGAGAAUUGUACUUCAUACAGGAUCGACUAACCCUAUCGAGAGAAUGCCCUUUGUGGGAGUUAAGAAUGUCCAAAACACAAGAGGUGCUUUGGAGUUGAGUCCACGAGAGCGAAUGAUGCAAACUGCAUCAUUGGGCAGAUGUUACUCUCGGGGACCGGUCUCUAGAGGUGAGAGACCGGUUCCCUUGGCUGGGUGUAGCGGGGUUGCUUGAUGCAACUGGUCCCUGGCAGGGAGGGACCGGUUCCUGAACGUGGUCCCAGCGAGAAAUGCCGAAAUUUGGCUAAGUCCUGAAAAUCGAGCUCUCGGGGACCGGUCUCUCGGGCCAGGACCGGUCUUCCGAGGACCGGUCUCCCGGGGAGAGACCGGUUCCCGAACGCGUGCGCCCGAGGGAGGCCCUCGGGGACCGAUCCCAAGUCGGGGAGACCGGUCCCUCCGCGCGAACUCUGCCCAGUAAGGGCUGUGCAGUGGAUAGAAAGUUGAGGGGUUUUUAUACAAAAUGGCCUUUAUUAGAGUGGGUUGGGCCCUCUCUCUCCCUCACACUCAUCUCAUUUCCCUCUCUCACACUCUCUUUCUCUCUUGCUCUCUCUCUCUAGAAAGGAAAGGAGAAGAAGAAGAACAAGAAGGAGAGGAAGGAAAAGAAGAGGAAGAACAAGAAGGAGAAGAAGGAGGAGAUCAAGAGUAAGGCUUUGGACACCUUCAUCUCCCUCUCCUCUUCUCUUUGGUGUAGCACAAGAGGUAGGCUCUUGAGCCCUAGCUUCUAAACUUUGGAGUUUUGGGUUUUCAUGCUUUGGAAUGGGUCAAAUAGACCCUAAGCAUGCUUCUAAAUAGAUCAAUCCCAUGAUUCUAGAGAUUUAUUGGUGGUUUGCUAUAGGUGCAAACCUAGGGCACCAAAAUGGAGUUUUUGUAAAAGUAUGAGAUUGAUCUCAUUUGAAGCCUUGGAAACCCUAUUGUUAGGUCACAAAACGUGGGGGCGAAGUCGGUUUUGGCAUUCGGCGAACCGGCGUGAAGUUCUCGGCAAAAUAGGGCCGGGCUAGUGUUGACUUGGGCAAGGAAGGCUAAAGCCUUUUCGUAAAGUUCGCCGAGAAGAAUUUCCGAGGCCUCUACAUCGAUUAAAGGUGGGGGGUGCGAUCCCGAAGCUUUCAGACUCCUUUCUAUGUCUUAGAUUGCAUUUAAUAUCAGCUCUUACAUGUUGCAUUGUAGGAUUGCAUAGUAGCUCAUUCCUUAUGCUUUCUAAAUAAUAACCUAGUGUACUUGGAACGCUUGGUGACGUAGAUAGGUGAGGAUUGGGUCGGAACGUGGAUCCUAUGAUGCGAAAGACAAGAGGUGAACCCGAUAGGGGUAUUGAUGACAUAGAAAAUAGUGCUAAUGUUAAAGAACAAACGAGUGACAUCCAAAUGUUAAAUGAUAACGAGUGGCAUUAAUGUAGUGUAAACAACACUAGAGGUUUGAGAACCUAGGGAUAGGUGGAUCCCUUAGAAAAUGCCUUGUGGAUAAAGAACUUAGUAAACCUAAGUAGCCUCACAUGGAGAGGUUGUCGAUGAGUCGAUUGAGACAUUGACCCUAGUGUUAGGGCUUCCUCACUUGGAGCGGAUUGGGAUUGGGUUGUGGACCCUAGUGAUAGUGCUCCGUCACUUGGAGAGGAUUCGAUUGGGUAUAGACUCUAUUUGUAGAGCAUCCUCACUUGGAGAGGACUCGAUUGAGUUGUUGACCCUAGACGUUGGGCAUUCUCACUUGGAGAGGAUAGAUCUAGCUCACAGUCUGCAUUUGCGGUAGUAUAGCCAUCCAAUCCCCAUAUGGAGGGGAUUGUCGUCAAGUACUCCGGAGUGUCGCGCGACUAGGACUACUUGGAGGUCCGGACCACAUGGAGGUCCGCAGACGGUCCCGGGCUUGGGUGCACUUGGAGCUCCCUCCCCACUUUGGGAUUGAAGGGUGAGUUAUAGGCGAGCCCUAGGGCCUCGCCAUAGAUUGGGUAAAUGAAAAGGUUAAAGGUUUAAUAAUGUCAUUGAACAUUGCUAUUCGAACAUGGGUCGAAUUUGUUAGCAUGGUAGCAAACCUUUAUUAUAUGAUGCAUGCAUUCAUAUUCAUGAUUAUGGGCAUAGUAGCAUAGUUUUCCUACUAUCGCAUUUACAGCUUUCAGAUACAUAUCUAUCUAUAUAUCUGUUGUUACUUGUGCCCACUUGGACCUAGUGGGGAGAUCGGCAAAGUCGGCGGCCGAGCCCACUGGGAACUAUGGAAGAUAGUUCUCACCCCACUCUAUUUCCAGUGGUAGAUACAGGACUACCGAGNAGGGAGGACCGCGGCAAGGGCAUCGCGCCCGAUCAGUGAGACCGUGGCAGUUAGUAGCUUUCAUUUUUGCAUUAGUUCACCAAUGUAUUGAGAGAGAAUCAUUGUAGGUGAGGACAUGGAGAGCUAUGCACUUUGAGAUGAAAAAUGUAUUCAUUUAAAGAGAAUGAUGUAAAUGGAAAUGAUGAAACUAUUGUAAUAGUUAGUAAAAUACUCUCUUUAUUUCACAUGCUAUAUCUUGAGGAUUACUUGCUCUUUAUAUUGUUGGCACUGUUCGUGCCCUUGUGAAUAUGUAUGUUUAGAAUUUAAUUUUCUGGGUAAAUUCUUGUACACAUUCUUGUUGUUGAGCCUUGGGCAGACAGGGGAGGUGCUGUCCAUUCGGCAAUCUGCCGCCGCGGCCGAAUCGUGCCAAAUUAGUAGUGGUUUCGGGGCGGGGUGUGACAGUUCUUUGUGGUAUCAGAGCAACAAGAGCAAGUAAAGAGAGAAAGUCUAGGAUGACCUAGGAGACCCUAGGUUGAUAAGCCCUAAGGUUAUAGGUGCGUGAGCGGAACGUGAACCUAUAGCGAUGGCGGAAGUUAAGUCGAUUGGGUUGAAGUUGGCAAUAUGUCUCUAGUUGUGAUUAGAGACGGACUCAAGUUGUAGGAGUUCUUGUCUUGAGGUGGUUGUGUUGGCGGUCGAUGACAUGAUGCCAAGAGAUUAGAACAAGUGCACUUGUGUGCUUCCGCCCGAUUUUUGUUGUUGAGUCGUCAAGUGACAUAAUUGUGACGAGGCAAUUGGUUAAGAUAACUGACCGAGUAUCUGCAUUUCAGGGACUAAUGUCUCCAAGACGCUACACGCGUAGAUCUGCCCCAGCACCGAUUCCUGAGGUGCCCGAGAAGAAGGAACCGAACGUGAUCGAUCGGUUGCAAGCGCAGGUGGCCGCACUGACCAACGUGGUGCAACACCAGGAGACCCGAUUCGAGCGGCUCUGGGAUCUUUUGGAGCAGCAGAUUGCAGUGGCGGCCGCGAUGGUGAAUGAGGGCGGUGGUCCGCCCACACCCUCGACUCAUAUACCCGUGGCGGCAGAGGGUGAGGGCAUAGCGGCGGUUCCGGUGACGGCACGCCCACCGCCAGCGAUCGUACCACAGGCGGCAUCGGGAUCGGCUACACCCGAUGUGGCAGCCGAAGACGUGGAGGGAGAGCGCGCAUUGGCGGCUCUUAUCAAGUUCAACAAGUUCCAUCCGCCAACCUUCGAGGGCGAGAAGGUGGAACCGGAGAUGGUCGAGUCUUGGAUUGACUCGAUGGAAACCUUCUUCGAUGAUUUACGUACCUUAGAGAGGGACAAGGUGUACCUCGCCACCCAUUGCUUGGAGAAGGCGGCGAAGGUUUGGUAGAAGCGCGUCAAACGGGAUCGGCUUCCCGGCCUUCCGCCAAUGUUGUGGGAGGAGUUCAAGCAGGAGAUGUUUGCUAACUAUUUUCCCGACACACUGAAGCCGAAGCUCAAGGAGAAAUUCCGCAAGUUGGAGCAAGGGGACCGCUCAGUGGCGGAGUAUGAACAAGAAUUCUCCCAUAUCAUUGAUUGUGUCCCGGAUGUUGCAAAGGAUGACCGGGACUGGGCUGAGUGGUUCUUACGAGGACUUCAGCCGGGAAUUUACAAGGCCGUGCAAAUACUCAAGCUCACAACCUUUGCGGAGGUCUUUGAUCGAGCCCUAUGGGCGGAGCACGGAGACGCCCACGUUCGGGAGAAGCGUGAGCUUUUGGCGGAGUCCAAGGACAAGGGCAAGAAACGCCAAGGUGGCGGUAGUUCGGGGGGACAAACACGUUACAAGAAACCCCUGAAGUAUCCGCGCACUCAACAGAAGGGCGGUGGAGCGCGGCGUUGCAUCGUGUGCGGCGGAGACCACCCGGUCUCGCGCUGAGCAAGGCCGAGGCAAGUGCUACAAGUGUGGGCAACUGGGGCACUUCAUUCGGGACUGCCAGGGAGGAGGAGCCUCACCUGCCCCAUCAAUUGCAUCGGUGCCGGCGAUUCCGGCUCACUAUGGAGGAGCUCCACCCACGGCCGCGUCGACUGGACGCGCGAUGAUGCCGCGUCAACAUGAAGCAACGCGAUCGGCCCCGAGUGGACGGGUGUUCGCCGCUCAGGUCCAAGCUGAGGAACCUGCGGAGGCGGAGGAGCAUCGCCUUGUGGCAGGUAUGGUUUUAAUUAACGGAGUUCGCUCCAGGGCUUUAUUUGAUACAGGAGCCACGCAUUCAUUCAUAAGUAGAUCAUUCGCACGCAUGCAUGGCAUACAUAUAGAAGCGAGUGACAAGUGGCGAGUGGAGGCCCUGGGUCGACGUUUAACACUUACUCGGAGUAUGCGUCGUGUCCCGUACAAAGAGGCGACUGGAUUAUGCCUAUCCGGACACUGGAACUCGCAAAGCUUGAGGCUUAUGACGUCAUUCUGGGUAUAGACUGGCUCUCGAAAUAUCACGCAAUGAUCGACUGCAAGAGUAGGGUGAUCACAUUCUGUGAGCCAGGACAGGAAGAAUUCAUCUAUCGGACUUGUCAGAGCUCGUGCUUCGUCGCGACGGUGUCGGCGACGAGAGCAAGGAAGUUGGUCAACAGCGGUUGCACGGCAUUCUUGGCAACUAUUGUGGAGGUGGAGCGAGUAGCCCCAAUGUUAGAGGAGUUAUCCGUGGUGUGGGAGUUCCCGGAUGUGUUUCCUACGAAGUUGCCGGGGAUACCACCGGAUCGGGAGAUCGAGUUCGUCAUAGACUUGGUUUCCGGUACCGCACCGAUCUCGAAGGCUCCGUACCGAAUGGCGCCGGCGGAAUUGAAGGAGUUGAGGAGUCAAUUGCAAGACCUCCUCGACAAGCAAUUUAUCCGGCCAAGUGUAUCACCGUGGGGAGCCCUGGUGUUAUUCGUGAGGAAGAAAGAUGGAUCGUUUCGACUCUGCGUGGAUUAUCGAGAGUUGAACAGAGUCACGAUCAAGAACAAGUACCCACUACCCCGAAUCAACGACCUGUUCGAUCAGUUGCAAGGGUCGUGUGUGUACUCGAAGAUAGAUUUGCAAUCCGGCUAUCACCAGCUGAAAAUCAAGCCGAAGGAUGUGCAGAAAAUCGCGUUCCGCACGCGGUAUGGACAUUACGAAUUCACGGUCAUGCCAUUUGGACUCACAAAUGCUCCAGCGGCAUUUAUGGAUUUAAUGAAUCGUGUCUUCAGAGAGUAUUUGGAUCGGUUUGUCGUGGUCUUCAUAGACGACAUAUUGGUCUAUUCUCGUAGUGACGAGGAACAUGCCGAGCAUUUGAGAAUAGUGCUUCAAGUCCUUCGGGAGGAGAAGCUAUAUGCUAAACUGAAGAAGUGUGACUUCUGGCUCCGCGAGGUCGCCUUCAUAGGGCAUGUGAUUUCCGUAGGUGGAGUUUCAGUAGACCUGAGGAAAGUUGAGGCAAUCAAGGAUUGGCCGCGCCCGACGAAUGUCACGGAGGUUCGAAGCUUCGUGGGCUUGGCGGGCUACUAUAGGCGGUUUGUGUAAGGCUUUUCCAAGAUAGUGAUUCCACUUACCCGCCUGACUCAAAAAGGCACCAAGUUUGUUUGGAGUGAAGAGUGCGACCGGAGUUUUAAAGAGUAGAAGCAGAGAUUGACUUCGACUUCGGUGCUCGCUCUACCGGUGCAGGGCGAAGACUUCGUGGUCUACAGUGAUGCCUCCUAUCUUGGAUUGGGGUGUGUAUUAAUGCAAAGCGGGAAAGUGAGUGCGUAUGCAUCCCGUCAGUUGAAGAGCUAUGAAAAGAACUACCCCAUUCACGAUUUGGUGCUAGCGGCGGUGAUUUUCGCCUUGAAGCUGUGGAGCCACUACUUAUAUGGUGCCCAUUGUGAGAUCUAUACCGACCACAAGAGCUUGAAGUACCUGUUUACACAGAAGGAGCUCAAUAUGCGUCAGCGGCGGUGGUUGGAGCUAUUAAAGGAUUAUGAUGUUGAUAUCCUCUACCACCCCGGGAAGGCAAAUGUGGUCGCGGAUGCGCUGAGUAGGAAGUCGGCGAAGAACCUCGCUUUCGAUGUUACCCAGCAAACACCCCUGUGGCUGGAUAUGGAGCAAUUGGGCCUUGAGGUGGUCGCUCCCGAGGUCCCGACUCAGCUGAUGGCACUCGUUGUCCAACCGACCUUGUUAGAGAGGAUUAAAGAUCUGCAACCCGCAGACCCAGAGCUCCAAAAGGUGCGGCGAAACAUCGAGGAAGGGCAUGGCGGCGAUUUCAAGGUAGACGUCGAUGGUACGCUUCGGUUUCGAAACUGAUGGUGUGUGCCGAAAGAUGGAGAGCUUCGCGAAUUGAUAUUACAAGAAGCACACUGAUCUCCAUAUGCCGAUCACCCAGGCGGCACCAAAAUAUAUCAGGGACUAAGAAUGUAAUAUACCGAAAAUUCGAAAAAUAAAUAUCGAACUUUAGUCAAAUUGACCAAAGUGCGAGGACGGUACACUUCGGAAAGUCCGAAGGUGUUAAAAUGAUCAAAAGUGAGUUACGGAAGGUUUUCGAGAGCUAAAGAAUCAAAUUCUGCAAACUGCAGCUUUUGAGCUCUCGGGGACCGGUCCCUGGUGGGAGAGACUGGUCCCCGAACGCGUAUGAAAUGUGACAGCCGAAAAAUCGGCUAAGUCCUGGAAGGACAGCUCUCGGGAACCGGUCUCUGUCUGAGAUACCGGUCCCCCAGAGACCGGUCCCCCAAGGAGGGACCGGAUGCAUUGCGCGCGGCAGCUCUGGCUGCGCAGGGUAGACCUUCGGGGACCGGUCCCUGCUCGGGGAGACCGGUCUCUGCCUGCGAAAACUGCCCAGUUCAGGCUGUGUGAAAUAGAUGAAAGUUGAGGGGUUUGUUAGCAAUUAUGCAACCCAAUAGCUAUGUUAUGAGGGUAAAUGAGAAAUUUCUCUCAUUUCACCCCCUCUCACUCUCUUCUCUCCCUCUCUCUCUCUAGAAGACAAAGGAGAAGAAGAAGAAAGAAAGAAGAGAAGGAGAAGAAGGAAAAGAAGGUGAAGAAGAAGAUCAAGGAGCAAAGGAGCUUCAUCUUCUUCCUCUCUAGUGCAAGAAAAGGAAGCUUACAAGGUAAGCUUUGAACCCUAAUGUAGUAAAACCCUAGAAAUGGGUUUGGAUGACCUAGAAAUGAGUUUUAGUGAAAUGUUUAAAGAGUUUUGAAGCUUUCUUUUGCUUCUAAAGAGAUCAAAACCUUGAUUUGCAUUAGAGGUGAGCUUGGACCACCUCUCAUGGUGAAAUCCAAACUAGGGAUUUGGAAAGGUUAAGAAUGGUUCUAAUGGACUAUUUAGAGUAUAAUGAAGCUACUUUUGCUUCUCUUAGAGAUCAAACCCUAGGUUUUGAUAUACAUUGGAGCUAGGGCACCCAAAUUGGGGCUUUUGCUCAUGAGAGUUUCUAAGUGCAAUUGACCUUUUAAAAACCUAAUUGGGGGUAUUUCCGACGCGUUGGUGCGCUCGGAUAAACGUUACGAAAAGUCAAAGUAAAGUUAUGGGCAAAAUGGCCUAAUAAGGGUUCGUUUUGCCGCAGGUAAAGAACGAAGCAUCUAAAAAUCCCAAGAAAAUCAUCGGAGCACCUUUGAAAGCCUACGAGGUGGGUGGUGCUUUUCAAACUCAUUGAAAUUCUCUCUAUGCCUAAUGUGUCAUUCUUUGAGCAAAUGUUCUAUAUAUUGUUGCAUGCAUUUUAGGGUAAAGUAAUGAUGAAAUGUGAUGAUUGCAUGAUUGUGAGCACAACUUGCAUAAUGAGAUGGUUGAGAACCUAAUAAUGUCAAAACCCUAGAUGUAUGCAUGAGAGAAAAUGUGAGUACCAAAGUGAGCAACAAAACAGAGUGGCACAAUGACAUAGAUCGAGUGGCAUUUGAAAAUGAAAAGUAAAGAGACACUAGAGAUAGUGUGAGGUAAAGAACCAAUGUAAUGUAAAAGAUGCUGAAAAUGAUAAUGCUUAAAGUUAACGCAAUGUGGGAAGUAAAAGAACGUGAAAAUGCUAGAGGUACCAAAAGUAAGAAUGUAAGAAAUAUAAUUGCUAGAGUUAGCAAAAGUAAAGGACAAUGUAAAGAAUGUGAUUGCAUGAGUUGCAACAUAAAGUGAUAUAAUGAACACUAGAGCUAGUGUAAAGUCAAGAUUGAACUUAUAUAUCGAUCCUUUGAGUUAAGGAUAUGAUACAUGCUUGCUAUGAGUUCCGUGCUCGAGCGCGUCGCUCCGCCCUCGGCGAUGCGCUCCGGAGUUAUGCAUCCGGGUUGGAGUAAGCGUAAGGCGGUCCAGCGGGUGAGUUCCUGCGAUGAUGGACUUAAUGUGAAGCAAUUAAUGUGGCGAAGCCCCCGGUUAGCCUUAACGAUUAAGAAAAGAAGAACAAAGAGCACAGAAAUAAGGAACAAAGCACAAAGUAAGUCAAAGAAUUGAAGAUUUGCAUAAUCUGCAUUUAUUUACAUGUUGAGCAUACUUCUUGCUUAUUUCAUGCAUAUUAGAUCAUGUUAUAGAUUGUUACUAUACAGCUUAUUCUUCCUACUAUGGCCUGAGUUAGUCUAGUGGAAAGUCGGUGAUGUUGAGCCGAACCCACUGGGCCGAACUUUGUUGUAGUUCUCACCCCACUAUUUCACACGAGGCCGACCUGAGAGCCGGCGAGCGACCGAGUAAAGUAUCGCCGCCUUAGUAAGAGGCCACCAAAGUUGGGUACAUUUUGUUAGCAAACACCCUUUUGUCAUCUUUGUAUUUGAUGAUUAGCAAUGUGAAGAAAGAAUGUAAAGCUUAUUUUGAAGGUAAAUGUGAUGUAAGAAGGAAAUGAAUGGAAUUAUGUAAUGAAAUGUAAAGAAUCCUAAAUGUAACAGAUGGAUGCAAUGUAUAAUGAUCUAAUAUGAAUCAUACUACUGUGUAGAAGUUUAGUUUUCUAUCUUUCACUAAUGCUACUGCUUACCUCCGCGUAAGCACAUUUGUGUAUGUUUCCGCUAGUGCAAUUCUUGUUUGAAUUUUGUACAUUGAUGAGCCUUGGCGCACAGGGGAAACUCUGUCCGUUCGGCGUCUGUUUGACGUGCUCGGGUCGGGCAAAUUGGCAUCGGUCUCGGGCGUGACAAAGAAUGCACUAUUGGUCGCCGGAAUGGAAGGGUGAUAUUGGAGCGCUUUGUGGCAAAAGUGCUUAACAUGCCAACAAUGAAGGCCGAGCGUCGAUUUCCAGCGGGAAAGCUUCAAAGCCUACCAAUCCCCGUUUGGAAAUGGGAGGAUAUAUCGAUGGACUUCGUGGUCGGCUUGCCUCGCUCAACAGACGGCCACGAUGCAAUUUGGGUAAUUGUGGACCGGUUGACAAAGCCGGCUCACUUCUUGCCGAUCCACACCAUGUGGUCGGGUGACAAGUUAGCGCAGGUAUAUCUUGACGAGAUAGUGAGACUGCAUGGGGUGCCGAAAUCGAUCGUGUCGGAUCGUGACCUCCGGUUCACUUCACACUUCUGGAAGAGCCUGCAGGGAGCCCUUGGCACACGGCUCGACUUUAGCACUGCAUUUCAUCCCCAGACUGAUGGGCAAACAGAGAGAACUAUUCAAACUCUGGAGGACAUGUUGCGAGCGUGUGUCAUUGACUAUAAGGGAAGUUGGUGUGAUCACCUACCUAUGGCCGAGUUUGCCUACAACAACAGUUAUCAUGCUAGUGUGGAGAUGGCACCGUUUGAGGCUCUUUACGGGCGGACGUGUCGGUCUCCUAUACACUGGAGCGAUGUGGGUGAGCGUACAGAGUUCGGCCCCGAUGUUCUGCGAGAAGCGGAGGAGAAAGUCCGCCUUGCUCGCAAGAGAUUGCUCACGGCGCAGUCGAGACAACAAAGCUAUGCGGAUAGGCGCCGUCGAGAUAUAGAAUUCGCGGUAGGCGACCGGGUAUUCUUGAAAGUUUCACCGAUGCGGGUUGUGAAGCGGUUUGGAGUGCGGGGGAAACUAAGUCCUCGAUACAUUAGACCAUAUGAGAUAUUGGAGCGAGUCGGCACGGUGGCCUACUGACUUGCUUUGCCGCCGAAGCUUGCGAAUGUACAUAAUGUAUUCCAUGUCUCCAUUCUCUGCAAGUAUAUUCACGACCCCGAGCACGCGAUGCUAUAUGAACCGCCGGAACUUCAAGGAGAUUUGAGCUAUGAAGAGUUUCUGGUAGGGAUUAUCGCCCGAGAGGUGCGAAAGUCAAGAAAUCGAGAAAUUCCCUAUGUGAAGGUUAGGUGGAGCAAUCAAGAGGAUCGCGAAGCCACCUCGGAACUCGAGGAUCUGAUGAGAAAGCACCACCCUCAUCUAUUUGAGGAGUGAGGUAUGAAUUUAAGUUAAAGUAAUGAAAUGAGUUCGUUUCGAGGACGAAACUCCUUUUAAGGAGGGGAGGAUGUAAGAAAGUGGAUUCUCGAAAUCUGAGGAUUGUACUUCAUCCAGGAUCGACUAACCCUGUCAAGAGAAUGCCCUUUGUGGGAGUUAAGAAUGUCCAAAACACAAAAAGGUGCUUUGGAGUUGAGUCCACAAGAGCGAAUGAUGCAAACUGCAUCAUUGGGCUGAUGUUACUCUCGGGGACCGGUCUCUGGAGGUGAGAGACCGGUUCCCUUGGCUGGGUGUAGUGGGGUUGCUUGAUGCAACCGGUGCCUGGCAGGGAGGGACCGGUUCCCGAACGUGGUCCUAGCGAGAAAUGCCGAAAUUUGGCUAAGUCCUGAAAAUCGAGCUCUCGGGGACCGGUCUCUCGGGCGAGGACUAGUCUCCCGAGGACCGGUCUCCCGGGAAGAGACCGGUUCCUGAAUGCGUGCGCCCGAGGGAGGCCCUCUGGGACCGGUCCCAAGUCGGGGAGACCGGUCCCUCCGCGCGAACUCUGCCCAGUAAGGGCUGUGCAGUGGAUGGAAAGUUGAGGGGUUUUUAUGCAAAAUGGCCUUUAUUAGAGUGGGUUGGGCCCUCUCUCUCCCUCACACUCAUCUCUUUUCUUUCUCUCACACUCUCUUUCUCUCUUGCUCUCUCUCUAGAAAGGAAAGGAGAAGAAGAAGAACAAGAAGGAGAGGAAGGAAAAGAAGAGGAAGAACAAGAAAGAGAAGAAGAAGGAGAUCAAGAGGAAGGCUUUGGACACCUUCAUCUCCCUCUCCUCUUCCUUUUGGUGUAGCACAAGAGGUAGGCUCUUCAACCCUAGCUCCUAGACUUUGGACUUUUGGGUUUUCAUGCUUUGGAAUGGGUCAAAUGGACCCUAAGCAUGCUUCUAAAUAGAUCAAUCCCAUGAUUCUAGGGAUUUAUUGGUGGUUUGCUAUAGGUGCAAACCUAGGGCACCAAAAUGGGGUUUUUGUGAAAGUAUGAGAUUGAUCUCAUUUGAAGUCUUGGAAACCCUAUUGUUAGGUCACAAAACGUGGGGGCGAAGUCGGUUUUGGCAUUUGGCGAACCGGCGUGAAGUUCUCGGCAAAAUAGGGCCGGGCUAGUGUUGACUUGGGCAAGGAAGGCUAAAGCCUUUUCGUAAAGUUCGCCGAGAAGAAUUUCCGAGGCCUCUACAUCAAUUAAAGGUGGUGGGUGCCAUCCCGAAGCUUUCGAACUCCUUUCUAUGUCUUAGAUUCUAUUUAAUCUCAUCUCUUACAUGUUGCAUUGUAGGAUUGCAUAGUAACUCCUUCCUUAUGCUUUCUAAAUGAUAACCUAGUGUACUUGGAACGCUUGGUGACUUCGAUAGGUGAGGAUUGGUUCGGAACGUGGAUCCUAUGAUGCAAAAGACAAGAGGUGAACCCGAUGGGGAUAUUGAUGACAUAGAAAGUAGUGCUAAUGUUAAAGAACAAACGAGUGGCAUCCAAACGUUAAAUGAUAACGAGUGGCAUUAAUGUAGUGUAAACAACACUAAAGGUUUGAGACCUAGGGAUAGGUGAAUCCCUUAGAAAAUGCCUUGUGGAUAAAGAACUUAGUAAACCUAAGUAACCUCACAUGGAGAGGUUGUCGAUGAGUCGAUUGAGACAUUGACCCUAGUGUUAGGGCUUCCUCACUUGGAGAGGAUUGUGAUUGGGUUGUGGACCCUAGUGAUAUUGCUCCCUUACUUGGAGAGGAUUCGAUUGGGUAUAGACUCUAUUUGUAGAGCAUCCUCACUUGGAGAGGACUUGAUUGAGUUGUUGACCCUAGACGUAGGGCGUCCUCACUUGGAGAUGAUUGAUCUAGCUCACAGUCUGCGUUUGGGGUAGUAUAGCCAUCCAAUCCCCACAUGGAGGAGAUUAUCGACAAGUACUCCGGAGUGUCGCGCGACUAGGACCACUUGGAGGUCCGGACCACAUGGAGGUCCGCAGACGGUCCCGGGCUUGGGUGCACUUGGAGCUCCCUCCCCACUUUGGGAUUGAAGGGUGAGUUAUAGGCGAGCCCUAGGGCCUCGCCACAGAUUGGGUAAAUGGAAAGGUUAAAGGUUUAAUAAUGUCAUUGAACAUUGCUAUUCGAAUAUGAAUCGAAUUAGCAUGGUAGCAAACCUUUAUUAUAUGAUGCAUGCAUUCAUAUUCAUGAUUAUGGGCAUAGUAGCAUAGUUUUCCUACUAUCGCAUUUACAGCUUUCAGAUACAUAUCUAUCUAUCUAUCUGUUGUUACUUGUGCCCACUUGGACCAAGUAGGGUGAUCGGCAGAGUCGGCGGCUGAGCCCACUGGGAACUAAGGAAGAUAGUUCUCACCCCACUCUAUUUCCAGUGGUAGGUACAGGGCUGCCGAGGGAGGACCGCGGCAAGGGCAUCGCGCCCGAUCAGUGAGACCGUGGUAGUUAGUAGCUUUCCUUUUUGCAUUAGUUCACUAAUGUAUUGAGAGAGAAUCAUUGUAGGUGAGGACAUGGAGAGCUAUGCAUUUUGAGAUGAAAAAUGUAUUCAUUUAAAGAGAAUGAUGUAAAUGGAAAUGAUGAAACUAUUGUAAUAGUUAGUAAAAUACUCUCUUUAUUUUACAUGCUAUAUCUUGUGGAUUACUUGCUUUUUGUAUUGUUGGCAUUGUUCGUGUCCUUGUGAAUGUGUAUGUUUAGAAUUUAAUUUCCUGGGUAAAUUCUUGUACACAUUCUUGUUGUUGAGCCUUGGGCGGACAGGGGAGGUGCUGUCCGUUUGGCAAUCCGCCGCCGCGGCCGAAUCGUGCCAAAUUGGUAGUGGUUUCGGGGCGUGGCGUGACAUGGAGGGCCGAGGCGAUAUCGUAAACUCAUGAAAAUGGAUUUGAAGCACCGUGGCACAUAACCGAAGACCUUAACUUUCGGAUUGUGGAUUGGAGGCCGUUCGGAUAGUCGCGCGAGAGAUCGGGCCAAACCGGGUGCCGGGUGCGCGGGAGGCCGAUUGAAAGUGUUGACAAGCAAUCGGAAAGCGAUUUGAGGUGGGUUGUGUUUACCUAAGCGACUAAGUCGCCCUUUAUGUCUAAGAAACAUAUGAAUUCAUAUUGAUGCAUGUUAAUAAAAUGACAUAGCUAAUGCGUGUGGACAAUGUGAUGCAAACUGCUAAGUAGAUGCAUAUAAAAUGAUGUAAUAUAGAAAUGCUUAUUGACAUAAUGACAUAGUCUAGAAAUGCUAAAUGUAAUGUGCAUGUUAAUAUGAUAAGAAACCAUGCUAGUGAUAUUUGCAUGAUAAUGCAUUGAUAGUACAUGCUAGUAAGUAAAUGCAUAUUAAUACAUAUGUGUAUAAUGAGCAUGUUGGAUAAGAUUCGUGUACAUGUAGACUCGAGAUGACAAUAGGAUGUCAAGUAGAUCGAGUGGCACUUAACCUAGUGUUAAAGAACAUAGGUUGUGAAUUAAUCUAGAGUCAUGUGAACUAGAUCGAGUGGCACUUAACCUAGUGUUAAAAAACAUAGGUUGUGAAUGAAUCUAGAGUCAUGUGAACUAGAUCGAGUGGCAUCUAACCUAGUGUUAAAGAACAUAGGUUGUGAAUGAAUCUAGAGUCAUGUGAACUAGAUCGAGUGGCAUAUAACCUAGUGUUAAAGAACAUAGGUUGAGAAUGAACCUAGAGUUAAUCGAAUCUAGGUGUGUGGUAUUAACCUAGUGUCGAGAACAUAGGUUGAGAAUUGAGCCUAGAGUUAAAGUAAACCUAGGAUACGUGAUAAAGGCAUUGAACCUAGAGUCAGUUGGACCUAGGGUGAAAAGGACACUGGAUAUAACACACUGGACCUGUGCAAAUUGCGAGGUUCGAGUGAUUGGAUGUGUUUCGAGCUUUUCCACACUUGGUGAAGGGUUAUGGAAUAUUUUUCGAUCCAAAAAGUCCGAAAACUUGAGUUCUGGAUGAGUCCUGAGAGUUUUUACUCUCGGGGACCGGUCCCUGAUAGGAGAGACCGGUCCCCCAGUGAGCAGUGUUGCGCUGUCGGCGAGGCAACCGGUCCCUGGCGGGCGAGAUCGGUCCCCGAGCACGUCUUCACAGUGAGAGACCGAUCCCGCGCGGGGAGAGACCGGUUCCCGAACGAUGGUUUCUCGAGUUCGACACGAGAGACCGGUCCCUUGCAGGGAGAGACCGGUCCCUCUGGGCGAAAUCUGCCCAGACCGGGCUGAUGCAAUUUUGGCUUUUUGAGGGACCUCCUUGGAUUUUGUUACUUUGGAGGGCCUAAAUAGCCAUUCCACCCUCUCCUUUCCUCAUUUCCUUAUUCUCACCCUCUCCCUACACCUUCUAGAGAGAGAAGAAGGAGGAGGAGAAGAAGAAGAAGAGGAGCUUACUUAAGGGAGCUUGGAGCUCAACCACCUUUCUCUCCUUUCCACCUUUGCAAGGCUUGGAGCUUACUUGUAGGGCUUGUUAGUGGACCAAUCCUCAACCCUAGAAGAUUUGGAGCUUGUUUGGAGGCGUCUUGAGAGGUUAGUACUUCGAUUCUACCCUUUGAUCCUUGUUUUGGUAGAUUUUUCUAUAUGGAACCCUAGAAUGGGAUUUUAAGGUUGAUUUUGGAGCUUUUUGAUCUAGGGCUUUUGAGGCUAGAUUUCUUGAGUUAGAACCCUCCUUUGGGUUAGAUUGGAAGGAUCCUAGCCUUCUUUUGGAGCUUGAGAGAGAAUUUCUACUCCCUAGGUGAGUUUUUGCCCUUUUCUUGUGGUUGUUAAUUUAUGAGCCUAGAGUUGCUCGUAACGCUCGUGUCUCUUCGCUCAUUACUUUCAGGGUAUUUUGAGACUCGUGGACAACUUCUUUCGGCGAAACGAAGGACACCGCGACGGUUCGGUGGGUUUGACCUAGCCUGGCAUAUGAGAAAUUCUCAUAUGCUAUGUUUUAUGCUUGUAGAGUAAAAAAUUCAUGCAUUUCUAUGUUAAAUGUAUUUAUUGUGAAUUUUAGGAUGCUUAACAUGCCUAUAUUAUGUGUAAGAAAUUUCGGGCCCCUAUAUAGUAGAGGGCUACCAUGUGGGACUUGUACAUGAUUGGCAUCCUAUUGAGACUUGGAAUCAUAUUUCCUAGUGUGAAAAUGAGCAUUACCUUCAUGCAUUUUAAGCUAUUCCUACUUGAGACUUAAAGGAUCUUAGUAAGCCAUAAAGAGGCAUAUGAUAAGAUUGACAUGUGAGAUCGUGAGCUAAUGUCAUAAAGCGGCAUUGAGCUCGGGUUGUGUGGGAACCUAGUGGAUAGGGCCAUUGAGAGAAUUGGAAUAUAUUUGUACAUCGAAAUGUCUAAGUGUCAUAAAGAGGCAUUAGACUUAGUGAAUGAUAGGAGCUUCACAUUGUGAUCUAGAGCUAGAUCAUUGAGAUGCUAGUGACUAUUACCAUGUUAGAAACAUGAUGAUUGGGUACUUGAGACGAUGAUUACGCUUGCUUGCAAUAUGUGCUCAUUCGCACAUGCUUGUGAGGGUCGCUCCCUACAAACCGGCACUCCGGAGUUGGCCUACGCGACUUAUGUUCGCUCGUGCAGUAUCGAGAAACCUACGGGGUUGGGAGGGAUAGACUCAUUCCUAGAGUGGGAAUGCUGGAGCUACCACCGACACUUAGUGUAAUAUACCGAAAAUUCGGAAAAUAAAGAUGUCGAAUUUUAGUCAAAUUGACCAAAGUGCGAGGACGGUGCACUUCGGAAAGUCCGAAGGUGUUAAAAUGAUUAAAAGCGAGUUACGGGAGGUUUUCGAGAGCUAAAGAAUCAAAUUCUGCAAAACUGCAGAUUUUGAGCUCUCGGGGACCGGUCCCUGGUGGGAGAGACCGGUCCUCGAACGCGUGAGAAAUGAGACAGCCGAAAAAUCGGCUAAGUCCUGAGAAACUAGCUCUCGGGAACCGGUCCCUGCCUGAGAGACCGGUCCCCGAGAGACCGGUCCCCCAAAGAGAGACCGGUUGCCCUGCGCGCAGCAACUCUGGCUGCGCGGGGAGAGCCUUCGGGAACCGGUCCCUGAAGGAGAGACCGGUCCCCACCUGCGCGAACAGCCCAGUCCAGGCAGUGUACAGAGAUAAAAGUUGAGAGGUUUAUUUGCAUUUUUGCAACCCAAUAGCUAUGUAUGAGGGCAAAUGAGAUAUUUCUCUCAUUUCCUCACCCUCUUACACUCUCUUCUCUCCCUCUCCCUCUCUAGAAGACAAAGGAGAAGAGGAAGACAAGGGAAAGGAAGGAAAAGAAGGAAAAAAGGUGAAGAAGAAGAUCAAGAGGUGAAGCAACUUCAUCUUCUUCCUCUCUAGUGCAAGAAAUGAAAGCUUAUAAGAUGAGCUUUGAACCCUAUUGUAGUAAAACCCUAAAAUGGGCUUUGAAUAAACCUAGAAAUGGUUUUAAUGGAUUGUUUAGAGUCUUUGAAGCUUUCUUUUUGCUUCUUUAGAGAUCAAAGCCAUGGUUUAGCUUGAGGUGAGCUUUGGCCACCUCUAAUGGUGAAAUCCAAACUAGGGUUUGGAAUGAGCUAGGAAUGGUUUAGAUGAACUCUUUAGAGUAUAUUGAAGCUACUUUUGCUUCCCAAUGAGAUCAAACCCUAGGUUUGAUAUAUGUAUUGGAGCUAGGGCACCAAAUUGGGGCUUUUGCUCAUGGGUUAUUUUAGUAGAGAUUUUGGGCGUCUGUGUGCCGGGCAGGGAAGAACGAGGAUCCUUAAAAUUCAAAAAAAUCGCGAAGUCACCUAUGAAAGCCCUACGAGUGUGGUGGUGGUGGCUUUCAACUCGUGAACUUCUCUCUAUGGCCUUAAUGUUGCAUUUCAAUUUGGAGCCAUUAUUGUACAGCUUUGUUUGCAUUUGCUAUUUUUAGGGUAAAAGAGAUAAUGAGAGAUUUGUUGUUGUGCAUUUUAUUUUGGAUACAAACUUGCGCUAAUAUGAUUGGAGUAAUCCUAUAUAAAUCGAAAAACCCUAUGCUGUAGUCAUAGAAGAAAAGUAGCAUCGUCCAAAGUGAGCAUAAAAAGCAGAGUGCACUUGUGACAUAGAUGCGAGUGGCAUUUGAAACUAAAGUAAAUGACAUCUAGAUUAGUGUAGCCCAAAGAACCAAAGUGAUGUACAAAGAAUGAUGCAUAAUGACAAUGUGAAAGUUAAAGUAAAGUGAGGCACAUAAGAAUAAGAAUGUAAAGAACAAGAAUCUAAAGUUAGCAAAAGUAAGGAAAUGAUAAAGACACGCAAUCGACUGGCUAGAGUAGCAAACACGUGAAGUGACGUAAAGAACGACUAGAGUUAGUGGUAAAGUCAAGAUUGAACUAAUUCUUUGAGCUAAGGAAUUCGAUCAUCACUUGCAUGAGUUCCGUGCUCGAGGGCGUCGGCUCUCCCCUCGGCGGUGCGCUCCCGGAAGUUAUGCAUCCGGUUGGAGUAAACACGACGAAGGACGGUCCUAAGCGGUGAGUUCCUGCGAUGAAAUGGAUUUAAAUUGAAGCAAGCAAUGUGCGAACCCCGCGGCUUAGCCUUCGAGAUCAAAGAAUAAAGAAUAAAGAACAAAGAUCAAAGAACAAAAGAACAAUAGUAAAAGAUAAAGAACGAAAGAACUGCAUAAUCCUGCAUAUUUAAUGUUGAGCAUAUUCCUUGCUUAUUGUCAGGCAAAUAUUAGCAUCAUGUGUACAUUGUUACAAUAUUUCAGGCUUAUUCCUUUCUAUUAUCAGUUGAGUUAGUCCUAUGCUGGGGAAUCAGUCGUGGAUGUGUGGCGCGACACCCACUGGUAACUUUGUGUUGUGUUUCCACCCCACUAUUUCCACAGAGCCGGGACCGAGGCGAGCCGCGAGCGUACCGAGGUAAGAGAUAUCGCCGCCUUAUCAAGAUCAGCCACCAAAGUGGUUUCAUUUUGUAGUUAAAGUACCUCUAUGCAUGCCCUCUUGUACAAUGAUGGUAAAUGUGUAAAGGAAAAAAUGUAAUGGUAUUANNNNNNNNNNNNNNNNNNNNNNNNNUUCUAAGUGCAUGAAUUACCCUCAGAAACAGCUAAUUGGGGGUAUUUCCGACGCCGUUGGUGCGCUCGGUUAAGUUACGAAGAGUUUAUAGGAAAGAUAGUUGGGCAAAAGUGGCUAGUUGGCUUCGGUUUUGCCGCAGGUGAAGAACGAGAGCCAUACACUCUCAAGAAAAUCGUCGAAGGACCUUUGAAAGCCUAACGAGGUGGGUGGUGCUUUCCCAACUCCGUGAACUUCUCUCUAUGCUAAUGUGUCAAUUCAAUUGAGGCAUGAUGUACAUAUUUUUUUUUUUUUUUUUUUUUUUUUUUUUUUUUUUUUUUUUUUUUUUUUUUUUUUUUUUUUUUUUUUUUUUUUUUUUUUUUUUUUUUUUUUUUUUUUUUUUUUUUUUUUUUUUUUUUUUUGUUGCAAUCAUUUUAGGGUAAAGAGAUGAUGAGAAUGUGAGUUGCUUAUUGUGAGUUAAACUUUCCUAAUAUGAUGGUGAGAACCUAUAAAUGUAAAAACCCUAUGUGUAUGCAUGAGAGAAAAGUGAGCAUCGUCCAAAGUGAGCAAAGAACAGAGUGACACUUUGACAUAGAUCGAGUGGCAUUUGAAUACGUAAAGUAAAGUGACACUAGUUAGUGUGAGCCAAAGAACCAAAGUGAUGUAAAGAAUGAUGUAAUGACAAUGUGUAAAGUUAAAGUAAAGUGGGCAAUAAGAAUAAGAAAUGUAAAGAACAAGAAUCUAAAGUUAGCAAAAGUAAGGAAAUGUAAAGAACCAAUGAUGCUAGAGUAGCAACAUGAAGUGACGUAAAGAAACUAGAGUUAGUGGUAAAGUCAAGAUUGAACAUAUUAACCUUUGAGUUAAGAUUCGAUCAUACUUGCUAUGAGUUCCGUGCUCGGAGGGCGGUCGCGUCUCCCUCGGGCGAUGCGCUCCGGAGUUAUGCAUCACGGUUGGAGUAAACCACGAGGACGGUCCUAGCGUGAGUUCCUGCGAUGAUGGAUUAAAUGUGAAGCAAGUCAAUGUGCGAAACCCCGCGGGUUAGCCUUGAGAUUAAAGAAUAAAGAAUAAAAAACAAAGACAAAGAACAAAAGAACAAGUUAAAGAUAAAGAACGAAAGAACUUGCAUAAUCUGCAUAUUGUUAAUGUUGAGCAUAUCCUUGCUUAUUGUUCAGGCAUAUUAGCAUCAUGUUGUAGAUUGGUUACAUAUUUUCAGGCUUAUCCUUUCUAUUAUGCCGUGAGUUAGUCCUAUGGGGAAAAGUCGGUGAUGUUGGGCCCGAACCACUGGAACUGUUGUUGUGGUUUCUCACCCCACUAUUUCACAGAGCCGGGACCGAGCGAGCCGCGAGCGACCGAGGUAAGAGAUAUCGCGCCUUAGUCAGAAGCCACCAAAGUUGGGUUUCAUUUUGUAGUAAAGUACCUCUAUGCAUCAUCUUGUACAUGAGUGGUAAAUGUGUAAAGAAAAAGAAUGUAAUGUGUAUUGAGGUAAAUGCGAUGUAAGAAAGAAAUGAUGAAAUGAAAUUGAAGGAAUUCGAAAAUGAACAAGAUGAAUGCAUGUAUAUGAUCAAAAAUGAAUCAUAGUCAAGUAAAAUGUUUAGUUCCUUUCUGUUCACUCGUGGCUAUUGCUUACCCUCGUGUAAGCCGUUUGUGUAUUUUCCGCUAGUAGCUUUUCUCUAUUGAUGAAAAUGUACAUGUGUGAGCCUUGGGCGAUAGGGGAACUCUGUCCGUUCGGCGUCUGUUUGACGUGCUCGGUCGGCCAAAUUGGUAUCGGUCGGGCGUGACAACUGUAGGUGGCACAAGCUGGACUACAAUAUUGGGUCCUCGAAACAUGUUGGAAAUAAUGACAUUUGAUCGAGAGAUGAUAAUCACUACUAGAUAGGUUUAGUAGUUGGAUUACUAUGACAUGCUUUAGCAUAGUGUUGAGACGUAGUAUACUCGAUAGUUUAUUUAUUGCCAGCAUCAGUACACUUGCUACGAUGAUAGAGCAUAUUCAUCAUACAUUGACAUUGUGAUCAUGUUACUACCUGUUCGUUCUGUUUGGACAUAUUAGUCAUGUUUGGACUUACUUCAUUGGGAUAAAGUAGAUUACACACUUUUCGACAUCAUGUAUACUUUUGAUAUAGUAGCUUUAGCAAUUAUUUAUGCUUUCAUAAUGCAACUAUUUCGUUGCUAUUGCCUUGUCGACUUACCUUUUCUUUGGCCUAGUGGCUGCAUUGAAGCUGAGGCAGAGUAAUUGGCCCCUGGGGAACAUAUAAAUAUAGUUCUCACGCGUAUUUUGAGGUAAAUGUGAUGUAAGAAAGAAAUGAUGAAAUGAAAUUUAAGGAAUUCGAAAAUGAACAAGAUGAAUGCAUGUAUAUGAUCAAAAAUGAAUCAUAGUACAAGUGAAUGUUUAGUUUCCUUUUCCUUUCACUCGUGGCUAUUGCUUACCCUCGUGUAAGCCGUUUGUGUAUGUUUCCGCUAGUGCUUUUCUCUAUUGAUGAAAAUGUACAUGUGAUGAGCCUUGGGCGGAUAGGGGAAACUCUGUCCGUUCGGCGUCUGUUUGACGUGCUCGGGUCGGGCCAAAUUGGUAUCGGUCCCGGGGCGUGACACUUAGGUGGCACAAGCUGGACUACAAUAUGUGGGUCCUAGAACAUGUUGGAAAUAAUGACAUUUGAUCGAGAGAUGAUAAUCACUACUAGAUAGGUUUAGUAGUUGGAUUACUAUGACAUGCUUAUAGCAUAGUGUUGAGACGUAGUAUACUCGAUAGUUUAUUUAUUGCAGCAUAGUACACUUGCUACCAUGAUAGAGCAUAUUCAUCAUACAUUGACAUUGUGGAUCAUGUUACUUACCUGUUCGUUGUGUUUGGACAUAUUAGUCAUGUUUGGACUUACUUCAUUGGGAUAAAGUAGAUGUACACACUUUCGACAUCAUGUAUACUUGUGAUAUAGUAGCUUAGCAAUUAUUUAUGCUUUCAUAAUGCAACUAUUUCGUUGCUAUUGCCUUGUCGACUUACCUUUUCUUUUGGGGCCUAGUGGUGCAUUAAGCUGAGGUCAGUAAUUGGCCACUGGGAACUAUAAAUUAUAGUUCUCACGCCCUCUAUUUUAUGUCUUCUUUUAGAGCCUUCCACGCCGGGAGAGGCUAUGGACCACGGGAAGGGCGUUGCUUCGAGCUAGCUCUUCUGCAAGGGACGAGUGGAUAGGUGGUCUACCUCUCGAUGUUUUUAUUUUGGAGAGGUUGAGAGCUGUACCAGUGUACUAGAGACCCCCCCUUUGUGUACUAUUUUGGGAGACGUUAUUGUACUACUUUAUGUUCUACUCUUAUUAUUUUUGUAUACCUCUUUUACCUUGUUAUAAACUAUAGAUCUAUCUGUGCUCUGAUAUCUCUAGAUGUAGGUUACUUUUGGUUUAUUUUUCUGCUGUUGUUGUAGACGCCUUAUAUGUGUGGACAUAUGGCGGGUCUGGGCACGCCACCGGGAGGGCCUCUGCCGGUCCCGGGGCGUGACAGAUUAUUUUGGUAUCAGAGCCUAGGGUUGAGUCUUAGUGGACCUAGCAAACCUUAGGCCGGUUGGCCUAUAGGAAAUAGGCUCGUGAGAGACGAGGUCUAUUCGACUUGUGAGCGAAAGUAUUAUUGUAACACACUCGACCUGUGCAAAUUGCGAGGUUCGAGUGUUCGAUUUGUAUUUCGAACUUUUCCACACUUGGUGGAGGGCCGUCGAUGGUAUACCGGUCUAAAAGUUCGAUCUCGAGAGUUUUGGCAGAGUCCUAAGAGUUUUUACUCUCGGGGACCGGUCCCUGAUAGGAGAGACCGGUCCCCCAGUGAACAGUGCUGCGUGGCCGGCAAGGCAACCGGUCCCUGGCAGUCGAGACCGGUCCCCGAGCGCGUCUGCGCGGGGAGAGACCGGUCCCGCGCAGGGAGAGACCGGUUCCCGAACGUUGGAUUUUCGGGGGCAGGCUGAGAGACCGGUCCCAGGUCGGGGAGACCGGUCCCUCUGGGCGAAAACUGCCCAGACCGGGCUGAUGUAAAUUUGAGUUUUUGAGGGGCCUAUGUGGAUUUUGUUACUUUAGAGGCUAUAAGCAGCCUCUCCUCCCCUCUCACUCUCAUUUUCUCUCCCUCACACUCUUCCUACACUUCUAGAGAGAGAAAGGGAAGGAGAAGAAGGAGAAGGAGAGGAGAAGAGCUUGCUUGGAGGCCUUGGAGCACCAUCUUCUUCCUCAUUUCCCACCUUUGGAGGCUUGGAGCUUGCGGUUGGAGCUUUGUGGAGGAUCAAACUUCAACCCUACUUGGUUUUGAGCUUGGAUUGGGGCUUCUCUUGAGGUUGGUAGCUUGUAAUCCCCAUUUGUUACAUGCUUUCCUAGGUUUUACUAGAUGAAACCCUAGAUUUUGGGAUUUAGGGUUUAUUUUGGGGGUUUUUGAAUUUGGGGGCUUUGGAACCAAAUUGAUGGGUUUAGAACCUUUGUUUAGGUUAGAUUGGAAGGACUCUAACUCCCAUUUGGAGAUCGUGAGAGCCUUCUUCGCAAUCGGUAAGUUUUCUCCAACCCUAGCUUGAGGAGCUUAAUGAUUGAGCUAUUUGCUCUUCGUUUCGUUUGGGUGACCCUAUUUUUGAUGUUUCUAGGGUACUAGGGAGCUUGUGGAUACCUUCGUUCGGCGAAACGAAGAAGUCGAUUUUGGUGGGUUUGACUUCAUGAAAAUAGGGCAAAAUGGCCCCUAUGCCUUCUAAACUUUUCGUAAAGUAUUUUUGAAUGCAAAUUCAUGCUAAAUAUGAUUUAUGUGAAUUUUAGAACACUUAACAUGCAUGCCUCAUAUAUCGUAAAAUUUGUACUCCAUAUAGUAGAGCUAUAUGUGUAGAUUGCAUGCAUUGUGAAUAGUGCUUGGUUUUACAAGUUGAGAACAUGUCUCCAUGCUAGAGUUGAGUGAAUUUAAGCGUCAUGAACAUAUUAAUGCCAUGCUUGGAACUCGUUGAACCAAAGUGUCAUCAAGGGGCACUUGAAACUAGUAAACUAUUAAACUGCAACCUAGGGACAUGUUGAUAGGCCACUAUAUAUCUGCUACAUUCCAUGUUAGAGACAUGAUGACAUAGAGAUAGGCCAUUGAGAUACUUGACAUAUUCCAUAUUUUUAGACAUGAGGACUUGGUACUUGAGACAGAUCAUUGCUUGCUUGCCAUUUGUGCUCAUUCGCACAUGCUUGUGAGGGUCGCUCCCUACAAGCCGGCACUCCGGAGAUAGCCAUCGCGACACAUGCUCGCCGUGCGGGAUUGGGCGCCGAAGUGGAUUGCCGUGGGGGAGGCUCAUCCCUAGAGUGGGGAUGUUGACUACCACGGGGCCAUUAGGCACGGCGCAGGCCAGACAGCCUUCGGGUGGGUCUUAUAUGAUUGGGACUUAGUGACAGAACGUGCUAUGUGAACUUUAAAACUAUUAAAGUAGACUUGGACUAGAAUAGUAAACAAUGGCAUCUUUACUAUUUUUGCAUUGAGGACAUCGGAUUGGUUGUAUUUCUAUGAUGAUGCAUGUCAUACACAUCCAUAUACAUUCAUGAUAUCGUUGCUUCAUUACUUGUACAAAUCAUGCUAAAUAGAAAGUCUAUGUUAUAGUGAGUUACAUUUUACUUACCUGUCGCUUUACUACAUUGUUAGUCACUGACCUCUUUUUGUAGCUUUGGGCCUUGUGGUGCAUUCACUGAAGUCAGUAAUUGCCCACUGGGAACUAUUUUUAAUAGUUCUCACGCCCCUGUUUCAUUGUUUACUUUUCAGAGCCUUCGGCACCGGCGGAGCGUGAGAUUGGCCUAGGUGGUUUGCUCUUUCUUUUGUAGUUGGGAGAGUGAGAGAUUUUGUAUCCAUGUGUAGAGACCACCUAUGUACCUACUUUUAGCACUUGUAUUUGGGAUUUCCUAUUGUAUUUACUUUAUGUCUUAUUUAGUGAAUUUACUGUUUUAUCCCUUGUUGUAGCAUUUAGACACUUACUAUGCUCUGAUACUUCUAGAUGUCUUCUGUUAUUGCUUUUAUUAUUGUUGUUAGUAGACGCCUUAUAUGUUUUAGACGUAUGGCGGGUCUGGGCACGUGCCGGGCGGGCUUCCGCUGGGCCCCGGGGCGUGACAAUUAUGAUUGGGUCUUAUGACAACUCUAAAAAGUUGGAGUUUAAUCGGAGUGCAUGACUUCUAGCUUCGCGGAGGGUUUCGUUAGCGGCCGACAACCUAACAUUGGGAGUUAGUUGUGGAUGACACUUCCUUAUUUUCGCAUGAUUUGGGUACUGUUAUUUGAGUGGGGAUUCGAUAGCGCGGGUUACUAAUUUGCGCUUUUAUGUUCUGUAGUGACGAUGCCGAUUACAUGCUCUCAAUCUGCGGGAGCGGACAAUGCAGUGCAGUUUGAGGAGGCUGAGACCUCCGCUACCUCCGGAUCCGGCGAGGUCCGUGAGUUGAGGGGCCAGCUGGCAGCCCUCACUGAUUUGGUGACGCGACAGGCAGACACGGCGCUUCCACAGGAGGCGCGGAUGAAGUGCCUAGAGGACCUUCUGCUGCAGCAGGCGACGGCCAGGAAAACUCAGAUCCCUACACCUCCCGCACCAGUAGAAGUGGUUGCGCCCAGGGUGUCGUCCCCUGCACUCGACGCUUCUAGGACGGCACCAGCGGCGGCACCUCGGGGAGAGGACAUCGCGGCACCACCAGCGCGAGCAUCUGUAGCGGGGGCGGUUUUCCCCGUGAUGGUUGAGGGAGCUGAGCGGGAUCGGCUCAUGGAAUGACUCAGCGAGUUUAGGAGAUGCAGUCCCCGGACCAUUGACGGGGAGAACGUGGACCAUUGGAUUGUAGAGAAAUGGCUCAUGCAUAUGGAGAAGCUAUUUCGGGACACCUUCGUCGAAGAGAGGGAUAGAGUGUGGCUCGCCACACAUCAUUUGUACGGCGAGACCUAUAGAUGGUGGUUGGACAUCCAGGAGAACCCCAGCAUGGAUCUGACGGCGAUUACUUGGAGGAGGUUCAAGGAACUCCUACUGGAGCAUUACUUUCCGGACAGUGUCAAGAGGAAGAUGGAGCAGAAUCUACGCAACCUUCGCCAGGGAGACAGGACGGUGGCCGAGUACGAGAGAGAGUUCUCCUGGCUUCUUCAUUGCGUGCCCUUCGUUGUUCGGGACGACGAGGACAAGGCCCGCAUCUUUGAGCGGGGAUUGCAGCCUUCGAUCUUCCGAUUUGUUCAGUCUUCCAACCUCCAAACCUACCGGGAGGUUGUAAACCGCGCACUCAUCGUGGAGAGUGGAGCAGCGGAUCUGCAGGAGUGGCGAGAGGCCUUGGAUAAAGGUAAAGGCAAGAGGCCUGCGGCUGAUGGCACGAGUCAGGCGCACUAAGGGAGGCCGCCGAGACAUCCGCGACACCGGAGCCAGUCGUGAAGACGUGGCCAAUCUACUCAGCGAGGAGGACCUGAUCGACGCCAGGCUCCGCGCUGCGUGAUCUGCGAUGGUCCCUAUUUUUCACGGCAGUGUUCACGCAGUCGGGGCAGGUGCUACCUUUGUGGCCAGGAGGGCCACUUCCAGUCAGACUGCCCGAGAGGUCCAGCCCCAGCGCCAUCUUCGGCAUCUGCACCAGCUUUACCGGGUCCCAGCCAGGGGACACCUUCUGUGCAUCACCAGACUGGACGGCCGCCAGUGCAGCGGCAGGCAGAGGGGUCACGACAGGCCCCAAGUGGGCGCAUGUACGCGGCCCAGACUGAGGAGGCGGCGGCAGCCGAGAAUGUGAUCGCAGGUAUCAUUUUACUUUAUGGUAUUCGAGUUCGAGCAUUGUUCAAUACCAGUGC
rnacentral:lncRNA from 1 species